GUGAAGCUGGAAUCGCUAGUAAUCGCAUAUCAGCCAUGAUGCGGUGAAUACGUUCCCGGGCCUUGUACACACCGCCCGUCAAGCCAUGGAAGCCGGGGGUGCCUGAAGUUGGUGACCGCAAGGAGCUGCCUAGGGCAAAACCGGUGACUGGGGCUAAGUCGUAACAAGGUAGCCGUACCGGAAGGUGCGGCUGGAACAUCUCCUUU
rnacentral:rRNA from 1 species